AUUGAACGCUGGCGGCAUGCCUUACACAUGCAAGUCGAACGGCAGCACGGGGCAACCUGGUGGCGAGUGGCGAACGGGUGAGUAAUGCAUCGGAACGUACCUUUCGGUGGGGGAUAACGUAGCGAAAGUUACGCUAAUACCGCAUAUUCUGUGAGCAGGAAAGCAGGGGAUCGCAAGACCUUGCGCGGAUUGAGCGGCCGGUGUCAGAUUAGCUGGUUGGUGAGGUAAAGGCUCACCAAGGCGACGAUCUGUAGCGGGUCUGAGAGGAUGAUCCGCCACACUGGAACUGAGACACGGUCCAGACUCCUACGGGAGGCAGCAGUGGGGAAUUUUGGACAAUGGGGGCAACCCUGAUCCAGCCAUGCCGCGUGAGUGAAGAAGGCCUUCGGGUUGUAAAGCUCUUUCGGCCGGGAAGAAAUCGCACGGGCUAAUACCCUGUGUGGAUGACGGUACCGGAAUAAGAAGCACCGGCUAACUACGUGCCAGCCGCCGCGGUAAAAC
rnacentral:rRNA from 1 species